rnacentral:rRNA from 2 species
UACGAAGGGGGCUAGCGUUGCUCGGAAUUACUGGGCGUAAAGCGCGCGUAGGCGGCUUUGUAAGUUAGAGGUGAAAGCCCGGAGCUCAACUCCGGAACUGCCUUUAAAACUGCAUCGCUUGAAUCCAGGAGAGGUGAGUGGAAUUCCGAGUGUAGAGGUGAAAUUCGUAGAUAUUCGGAAGAACACCAGUGGCGAAGGCGGCUCACUGGACUGGUAUUGACGCUGAGGUGCGAAAGCGUGGGGAGCAAACAGG